rnacentral:rRNA from 1 species
UACGUAGGGUGCGAGCGUUUAAUCGGAAUUACUGGGCGUAAAGCGUGCGCAGGCGGUUUUGUAAGCCAGAUGUGAAAUCCCCGGGCUUAACCUGGGAAUGGCAUUUGGGACUGCAAGGCUUGAGUGCGGCAGAGGAGACUGGAAUUCCUGGUGUAGCAGUGAAAUGCGUAGAUAUCAGGAGGAACACCGAUGGCGAAGGCAGGUCUCUGGGCUGACACUGACGCUCAUGCACGAAAGCGUGGGGAGCAAACAGGG